rnacentral:rRNA from 1 species
UCUGUAGGUGGUUUAAAAAGUCCACUGUUAAAAAUUGAAGCUUAACUUCAAAGAUGCUGUGGAAACUCUUAAACUUGAGUAUGGUAGGGGUAAAGGGAAUUUCCAGUGGAGCGGUGAAAUGCGUAGAUAUUGGAAGGACCACCAAUGGCGAAGGCACUUUACUGGGCCAUUACUGACACUGAGAGACGAAAGCUAGGGGAGCAGAUG